CGGUGCUCACGGUGGCAGCAGCGCGUGGCUGUGACGGGAGCAAGGGCAGCACCCCACGGGUGGCGGGUCCCGUCCAUUCCGUGGGCACCGGCUGUUCUGCAGGCGCUGCCGGCAGGUGCCACAUCCUCGGGGUGACAUCGUGUGGGCACCCCGGGUAGGGAGGCUGCUGCCUGCCAACGUGGCCAAUGAAGGGGUGCUCACCAACCGGGAGGUUGGAGAGCAGAGGGGAUGCAGUCGGUGGCAGAGGCCGGUAUAGCAUAAUGUGAUCAUAAUGGCACUGGCAGCACUGUGGGGCCAUCCCGGCUCUUCCCCACUCAAUAGGCAGAGGAUUCCUGCAGCUUCGUGAGGUGCCACAAAGCCCCAGCUCCCCAAGCAGCCUCCCCCUGCACCCACGCUGUCCUCACAGAGGAGGAAUAAUUUUGAGAAACCAUGGCAACCCCACAGCUCCACCGGUGGUGGGUGCUGCUGGGUGGGUGGAAGACACUGGUGCCCAUGGGAUGCAGCGCCCACGUCCCCAGUGCACAGGGAUGUGCACAGUGGCCUCGCUGGGUGACAGUUCCUUUUGGUUCAGCGGGGCUGUGGCUGCAGGGGUCUCUUGGGGUGUUCCAUGUGCUCACAAGGCAUCCAUGGCCCCGGAAGCCACACCUCCACCGCACUGGGGGUGUCCCAGGAGUCUCACCUGCUUUUUUGUUUUGCAGUGCUGGGAUGGAGCUGCCACAGGCCCCUCGUCCACCUCAGCCCACCCACCCCCUCACUGCUGCUGCUGGACCAGGGUGGGCUACCGUCCUCUGAGGCCGUGUGACAGGGAACUGGUGGGAGAAGAGUCGCUUUUAAGAUGACACGAACAGACCCACCUGACAUCCUGGUGUCCACAGUGUACCAAGACAUCAAGGUGGCGACAGCAGCCCCCGGGGAUUCCGUUGUCUGUCAGCCUCUGGCACAAUGUGACGCCUCCAUGUCCUCCUCCCUGUCUCGCGAGCAGCCCUUCAACAAGCGCCACUGUAGAAGUUUCGACUUCAUCGAGUCGCUGGAAGAGCUGG
rnacentral:lncRNA from 1 species